UACGUAGGGGGCUAGCGUUGUCCGGAAUCAUUGGGCGUAAAGCGCGUGUAGGCGGCCCGGUAAGUCCGCUGUGAAAGUCGGGGGCUCAACCCUCGAAUGCCGGUGGAUACUGUCGGGCUAGAGUGCGGAAGAGGCGAGUGGAAGUCCUGGUGUAGCGGUGAAAUGCGCAGAUAUCAGGAGGAACACCUAUUGCGAAGGCAGCUCGCUGGGACGUAACUGACGCUGAGACGCGAAAGCGUGGGGAGCAAACAGG
rnacentral:rRNA from 1 species